GAUGAACGCUGGCGGCGUGCUUAACACAUGCAAGUCGAACGAUGAAGCCCAGCUUGCUGGGUGUUUUAGUGGGGAACGGGUGAGUAAAAGGGGAGUACCUUGCCCUUAACUUUGGGUUAAGCCUGGGAAACGGGGCCUAUACCCGGAUAGGGGCGCCCACCGCAUGGUGGGUGUUGGAAAGAUUAUGGGGUUUUGGUUGGACUCGGGGCUUAUCAGCUUGUUGGUGAGGUAAUGGCUCACCAAGGCGACGACGGGUAUCCGGCCUGAGAGGGUGACCGGCCACACUGGGACUGAGACACGGCCCAGACUCCUACGGGAGGCAGCAGUGGGGAAUAUUGCACAAUGGGCGCAAGCCUGAUGCAGCGACGCCGCGUGAGGGAUGACGGCCUUCGGGUUGUAAACCUCUUUCAGUAGGGAAGAAGCGAAAGUGACGGUACCUGCAGAAGAAGCACCGGCUAACUACGUG
rnacentral:rRNA from 1 species